rnacentral:tRNA from 1 species
GUCGUACUAGUUUAUAAAGAACAUAUGUUUUGCAUUCAUAAAGAAGGGCUUUCCUGUAUGACC